UACGUAGGGUGCAAGCGUUGUCCGGAAUUAUUGGGCGUAAAGAGCUCGUAGGCGGUUUGUUGCGUCGGCUGUGAAAUCCCGUGGCUCAACCUCGGGUCUGCAGUCGAUACGAGCAAACUAGAGUGUUGCAGGGGAGACUGGAAUUCCUGGUGUAGCGGCGAAAUGCGCAGAUAUCAGGAGGAACACCGGUGGCGAAGGCGGGUCUCUGGGCAACAACUGACGCUGAGGAGCGAAAGCGUGGGGAGCGAACAGG
rnacentral:rRNA from 1 species